CUUUCAGUAGGCUUUUGUCGGAUUAUUUUACCGUAGGUUUGAUAACAGAGAGGUAUACUUCUACAUAUUUCUUGAGCAUCAAGUUUCAGCGAAGCCAAUGACAUGUUGGAAUGGGAAAUUUCACAGCGCUCAUUUAAUAACAGUCCGAGUAGCAUUGUUUACAUGCAAGGUUUGUUCCGUUUGUAGUUUGCGAUAUUUCAGAAACCAAAAGAUCCCUCUAUUUCGUUACAAUUCCACAUCUCAGUAUUAAAUAAAUCCUUUAGGAUAGACUUCAGCAGUUUUAAAUAACAGCAACAUCGGU